GACGAACGCUGGCGGCGUGCUUAACACAUGCAAGUCGAACGGAAAGGCCCUGCUUUUGUGGGGUGCUCGAGUGGCGAACGGGUGAGUAACACGUGAGUAACCUGCCCUUGACUUUGGGAUAACUUCAGGAAACUGGGGCUAAUACCGGAUAGGAGCUCCUGCUGCAUGGUGGGGGUUGGAAAGUUUCGGCGGUUGGGGAUGGACUCGCGGCUUAUCAGCUUGUUGGUGGGGUAGUGGCUUACCAAGGCUUUGACGGGUAGCCGGCCUGAGAGGGUGACCGGCCACAUUGGGACUGAGAUACGGCCCAGACUCCUACGGGAGGCAGCAGUGGGGAAUAUUGCACAAUGGGCGGAAGCCUGAUGCAGCAACGCCGCGUGCGGGAUGAUGGCCUUCGGGUUGUAAACCGCUUUCGCCUGUGACGAAGCGUGAGUGACGGUAAUGGGUAAAGAAGCACCGGCUAACUAC
rnacentral:rRNA from 1 species